AGAGUUUGAUCCUGGCUCAGGAUGAACGCUGGCGGUCUGCUUAACACAUGCAAGUCGAACGGACGUUUUCGGACGUUAGUGGCGGACGGGUGAGUAACGCGUGAGAAUCUGCCUUCAGGUUGGGGACAACAGUUGGAAACGACUGCUAAUACCCAAUGUGCCGAGAGGUGAAAGCUUUAGUGCCUGAGGAUGAGCUCGCGUCUGAUUAGCUAGUUGGAGUGGUAAUGGCACACCAAGGCGACGAUCAGUAGCUGGUCUGAGAGGAUGAUCAGCCACACUGGGACUGAGACACGGCCCAGACUCCUACGGGAGGCAGCAGUGGGGAAUUUUCCGCAAUGGGCGCAAGCCUGACGGAGCAAGACCGCGUGAGGGAGGAAGGCUCUUGGGUUGUAAACCUCUUUUAUCAGGGAAGAAGAUCUGACGGUACCUGAUGAAUCAGCAUCGGCUAACUCCGUGCCAGCAGCCGCGGUAAUACGGAGGAUGCAAGCGUUAUCCGGAUUUAUUGGGCGUAAAGCGUCCGCAGGUGGUUUUUCAAGUCUGCUGUUAAAGCGCGAGGCUUAACCUCGUAACGGCGGUGGAAACUGAGAGACUAGAGUAUGGUAGGGGUAGCGGGAAUUCCCAGUGUAGCGGUGAAAUGCGUAGAUAUUGGGAAGAACACCAGCGGCGAAAGCGCGCUACUGGGCCAUAACUGACACUCAUGGACGAAAGCUAGGGGAGCGAAAGGGAUUAGAUACCCCUGUAGUCCUAGCUGUAAACGAUGGAUACUAGGUGUUGCCCGUAUCGACCCGGGCAGUGCCGUAGCUAACGCGUUAAGUAUCCC
rnacentral:rRNA from 1 species